UUGCGGUUAAAAAGCUCGUAGUUGGAUUUCUGUCGAGGGUGGUCGGUCCGCACUAUGUGCGUGUAUCUGAUUCGGCCUUGACAUCCUCUUGGGGAACGUGUCUGUGCUUGAUUGCAUGGUGCGGUAUUCAAGACUUUUACUUUGAGGAAAUUGGAGUGUUUACGGCAAGCAUACGCUUUGAACACAUUAGCAUGGAAUAAUAAUAUAGGGCCCGGGUUCUAUUUUGUUGGUUUCUAGAGCUUGGGCAAUGAUUAAUAGGGAUAAUUGGGGGCAUUCGUAUUAACGCGUCAGAGGUGGAAUUCUUGGAUUGCGUUACGACGAACUACUGCGAAAGCAUUUGCCAAGGAUGUUUUCAUUGAUCAAGAACGAAAGUAUGGGGAUCGAAGACGAUUAGAUACCGUCGUAGUCUAUACCAUAAACUAUGCCAACUAGAGAUGGGCGAUCGUUAUUUUUUUGACUUCGUCCGCACCUUAUGAGAAAUCAAAGUCUUUGGGUUCCGGGGGGAGUAUGGUCGCAAGGCUGAAACUUCAAGGAAUUGACGGAUGGCACCCACCAGGAGUGGAGCCUGC
rnacentral:rRNA from 1 species